ACGAAAUUGACUCCACCGAGCCCGCCUACAGCGGCUCGCGCCUCCAGGUGAUCACCAAGGAAGUAAGCGCCUGCAUCAAGAAGAUCGGCUACAACGGGCUGCCUGGCCUUCAGCCCAUCUCGAGCUGGCACGGCGACAGCAUGCUGGAGCCUAGCACUGACGCGAGUGUGGCGCGGGUCGGCAGGGACAGCCGGGGUGGAGGCGAGCGGACCACACCCCGGACUCACCUCCCCUCGACAUCCCGAAGAUGCCCUGGUUCAAGUGCUGGAAGGACUGAUAACCACUCCUGCCUUGCUCCUGGACCAGUCUUUAGAACAAUCAAUAAUGGGUUGGAAACAAAACCACAGACUCCAUGAGGAAACCACAGAGCAACUACACUCAAAGAGAACUGAUGCCAAAGCCUGCAUUUUGUUACCUUCUUUGGAAUCAUUGGGAAUAUCCCAAGUUUGAAGUCUGAUUUGUUUCUAUUGCUCUGGUUUGGGACACAUCCAUGGAAGCCUAGAAGAGGAGAGGAUUAUCCUUUUAAAUUUAGCCAUUUUCCAACCUUUUUUUUUAAUUUGCUUUGUUUUGUUUUCUUUCAGCAAAUGUGUUAAAUGCCUACCAUGUGUUAGGAAUUUUUACAUUAUGUCAUUUCAAUAAAUUAUGG
rnacentral:lncRNA from 1 species